GCCUGGGUGGCUUAGUUGGGAGAGCAUGUGACUCUUAAUCUCAGGGUUGUGAGUUCAAGCCCCACAUUGUGUA
rnacentral:tRNA from 1 species